UGAGCAAUCUGCCCUUCUCAUCGGAAUAAGCGUUGGAAACGACGUCUAAUGCCGAAUACGACCUCCUUUCGCAUGAUCGGAGGUGGAAAGCUCCGGCGGAGAAGGAUGAGCUCGCGGCCUAUCAGCUAGUUGGUGUGGGUAAUGGCCCACCAAGGCGACGACGGGUAGCCGGCCUGAGAGGGUGACCGGCCACACUGGGACUGAGACACGGCCCAGACUCCUACGGGUGCAG
rnacentral:rRNA from 1 species